ensembl:lncRNA
CCCGUGUGUGAUGGAGGCCAGAAUAAAAGAAGAUCAAGAAUAAAGCAGAUGUUUCUUUUUUUCCAGGGUUUUUUUUUUUUUUUUUUUUUUUGAAAAAACGGUUUGUUUUUGGACAAACAAGUCCGCGAGGUGCCCGAAGGAAAGGUGGGCACUUCUUGUAUCUUGCGAGGCGUAUUGUUGCGGAGGUGUCAGGCCUCGGCUCUGCGCUGAAUGAGCCGGACAGGAAGACUAUGGGCCGUAUUGAAACCGGGAGCCGAGCUCCGUCUUUCAGUCCCGGUGCUUUCGGAGACGGAGAGAGAAAAGCCAUGACUCUGAAUGCUGGCAAACAAAAGCAGAUUUCAAUCAGGAGCAGCACUCGGACUGUAUUUAUGGACUCCCUGGGGGUAAUAAGACCAUACUUUAAGAGAGCGGCCUGGCUUGAAAACACAAACACACACACACACACACACACACACAUAUGCUGUGAGAGGCACUGAUAUGUGCACACACACUUCAUCAUUUGCAUCUCAUCGCACAGCCCCGCGCACAGCCGUGUAGUUUUAUAGUCGCAUUUCAGUCGCGUCCUCUGUGCUGGAAAACCCAAUUUCACCUAAAAACAGUUACGGAGACGUUUCCUGAGCGCGCCUGCAUUCUGUGUGCAUAAUUCAUCAGACACCCGGGUGGUCCGAGUGCCUGCAGCUGACCUGACAACGCCAAGCGUGUGUACGCUGUUGGGGAAAAAAAAACACAACAAAAACUCCCAUCGAGAUUUCGGGCUGGGCGAUAUGGGCCAAGGUUUAUAUUAUUAUUUGUUUUUGCUUUAUUUUGCAGUAAAAGUAUACGUCACGGUAUGGGAUCCUGCUUCCGGCACGGAGAAAAAAAAUUGAGAAGUUGAGUUGAAUUCAAAUCCAGAACAUUCUACAGACUCGACCUCACAGAGACCAGUACGACAAGGGGAUCUCUGAUGCCAGUGAUCCUGACCCUUUCUGCUCUCCGGACCUGCCUGAUCCGUUCGGAUUCCCUACCUCUGGAUGGAGGUCUCAUCAUCUGGAGGCUACAGCAUGGAGACCGCCGAGGACGGUGCCGCUUGGAGUAGCAUGGAAAUGGUUUUGGACGUCAAUUCCACAUGGACGUUCUCGCUGUGGUCGCUGGGACGACGGUUGCAGCGAUGGCCUUGGGACUGCGAUUACCACGUGCAGUUUUACACUCGGGUCUCCUUUAGUGAACAGUGGAUCAGUUCAACAAAUAGACUUCAUAUAAACACCAUAAUGAACUUUCUUUUACUCUCACGCUAUCCGUCGUGACCCAGAUGAGCACGGGUUCCCUUCUGAGUCCGGUUCCUCUCAAGGUUUCUUCCUCGUAUCAUCUCAGGGAGUUUUUCCCUCACCACCGUCACCACCGUCUCGCCCAAUACGGAUAAAUCCACACGCUUAAAAUCUCCAUCCUGUGUUUAUACGUUUCUGUAAAGCCGCUUUGAGACGGCGUCCAUCGUUAAACGCGCUAUACGAAUCGAAUCGAAUCGAAUUGAAACGGACACCUUUCCACAACGUUAACGCUAACAUUUCCGUAACGUUCUUCGAAUAACGUUCUAACGAAUCGCACGGUCGGAGUCUCGGAACCGCCUCGGGACCUGUGGAAUCGGUUGCCGGAUGUUCUGAGAACGUUCUCUGUUUCGCUUGAGGAACAAAUGUCCUUUAUUACUGAUGGCGUUUCAUUUAAAUAAAUAAAUAAACAAACAAACAAACGCAUAUAAAGCGACGUAAUAUCUUAAAGACGGGAGACGAGUCUGUGUCGGGUUUUUUUUUCUUUCCC